rnacentral:rRNA from 1 species
GAUCCUGGCUCAGGACGAACGCUGGCGGCGUGCUUAACACAUGCAAGUCGAACGGAGCACCCCUGAAUGAGGUUUCGGCCAAAGGAAGGGAAUGCUUAGUGGCGGACUGGUGAGUAACGCGUGAGGAACCUGCCUUUCAGAGGGGGACAACAGUUGGAAACGACUGCUAAUACCGCAUGACACAUGAAUGGGGCAUCCCAUUGAUGUCAAAGAUUUAUCGCUGAAAGAUGG